rnacentral:lncRNA from 1 species
UAGAGCAUUCCACGAAUAUUUUUCAGCUAUGAUGACAAGACCUCCUGAUUAAUCUUAUCCUUUUGAAACCUUGAGGGACAUACCCGAGUUGGUUAUAGAUGGGACUCCCUCAUAGCGUCCGGCUGAUAAUGUUAAACUUAGCAUUUGUUCGUAGACAAUCUAGCUUAUGCAAUAUUUUUAGUUUCUUUUCAUUUUGUAAGAAUCUCUAGAAAGAUAAUUAGCCAAGUAGAAUCUUUAUAGUGGAUUGGAUGAGUGAUGCUACUAGCCAAGUUAGGGGGAGAGCCACGUUCACACCAGCUGAAAUCAAGAACACACACCCAACAAUGAAGGAUCUCUCAACAAUAAAUGCACACAUUAAACUCAGAUAGUAUCUCUUCCUAUUAUGUUAUAAUUCUCUUCUUCCAUUGGAGACAAUGAAAAUUAAGUUGAGAGAGAGAAUAACUAAUUAGCUUUCUGUACCUAAAUUUUGUCUCGAUUUGGAGUUAAUCAAAUGAGUGAUUGAUGGUCUAGAUAAUUUUAGAGAUAUCGAGGAGAAAAUUAUUAAGAACACCC